rnacentral:rRNA from 1 species
GACGAACGCUGGCGGCGUGCUUAACACAUGCCAGUCGAACGGAAAGGCCCUGCUUUUGUGGGGUGCUCGAGUGGCGAACGGGUGAGUAACACGUGAGUAACCUGCCCUUGACUUUGGGAUAACUUCAGGAAGCUGGGGCUAAUACCGGAUAGGAGCUCCUGCUGCGUGGUGGGGGUUGGAAAGUUUCGGCGGUUGGGGAUGGACUCGCGGCUUAUCAGCUUGUUGGUGGGGUAGUGGCUUACCAAGGCUUUGACGGGUAGCCGGCCUGAGAGGGUGACCGGCCACAUUGGGACUGAGAUACGGCCCAGACUCCUACGGGAGGCAGCAGUGGGGAAUAUUGCACAAUGGGCGGAAGCCUGAUGCAGCAACGCCGCGUGCGGGAUGACGGCCUUCGGGUUGUAAACCGCUUUCGCCUGUGACGAAGCGUGAGUGACGGUAAUGGGUAAAGAAGCACCGGCUAACUACGUG